rnacentral:rRNA from 1 species
CAGUAGCCGCGGUAAUACGUAGGUGGCAAGCGUUGUCCGGAAUUAUUGGGCGUAAAGGGCUCGCAGGCGGUUUCUUAAGUCUGAUGUGAAAGCCCCCGGCUCAACCGGGGAGGGUCAUUGGAAACUGGGAAACUUGAGUGCAGAAGAGGAGAGUGGAAUUCCACGUGUAGCGGUGAAAUGCGUAGAGAUGUGGAGGAACACCAGUGGCGAAGGCGACUCUCUGGUCUGUAACUGACGCUGAGGAGCGAAAGCGUGGGGAGCGAACAGGAUUAGAUACCCGCGUAGUCCCUGUCUCUUAUCC